GACGUAGGGCGCGAGCGUUGUCCGGAUUUAUUGGGCGUAAAGAGCUCGUAGGCGGUUUGUCGCGUCCGCUGUGAAAAUCCAGGGCUUAACCCUGGACCUGCAGUGGGUACGGGCAGACUAGAGUGCGGUAGGGGAGAUCGGAAUUCCUGGUGUAGCGGUGAAAUGCGCAGAUAUCAGGAGGAACACCGGUGGCGAAGGCGGACUCUGGGCCGUAACUGACGCUGAGGAGCGAAAGCAUGGGGAGCGAACAG
rnacentral:rRNA from 1 species